GAUGAAGAACGUAGCGAAAUGCGAUAAGUAAUGUGAAUUGCAGAAUUCAGUGAAUCAUCGAAUCUUUGAACGCACAUUGCGCCCCCUGGUAUUCCGGGGGGCAUGCCAGUCCGAGCGUCAUUACAACCCUCAAGCUCAGCUUGGUGUUGGGCCCCGCCGCCCCGGCGGGCCCUAAAGUCAGUGGCGGUGCCGUCCGGCUCCGAGCGUAGUAAUUCUUCUCGCUCUGGAGGUCCGGUCGUGUGCUCGCCAGCAACCCCCAAUUUUUUUCAGGUUGACCUCGGAUCAGGUAGGGAUACCCGCUGAACUUAAGCAUAUCAAUAAGCGGAGGA
rnacentral:misc_RNA from 1 species